rnacentral:rRNA from 1 species
GACGAACGCUGGCGGCGUGCCUAAUACAUGCAAGUAGAACGCUGAAGGAGGAGCUUGCUUCUCUGGAUGAGUUGCGAACGGGUGAGUAACGCGUAGGUAACCUGCCUGGUAGCGGGGGAUAACUAUUGGAAACGAUAGCUAAUACCGCAUAAGAGUAGAUGUUGCAUGACAUUUGCUUAAAAGGUGCAAUUGCAUCACUACCAGAUGGACCUGCGUUGUAUUAGCUAGGUGGUGGGGUAACGGCUCACCAAGGCGUCGAUACAUAGCCGACCUGAGAGGGUGAUCGGCCACACUGGGAGUGGGACACGGCCCAGACUGCUAGGGGAGGCAGCAGUAGGGAAACUUGGGCAAUGGACGGAAGUCUGACCGAGCAACGCCGCGUGAGUGAAGAAGGUUUUCGGAUCGUAAAGCUCUGUUGUAAGAGAAGAACGAGUGUGAGAGUGGAAAGUUCACACUGUGACGGUAUCUUACCAGAAAGGGACGGCUAACUACGUG